rnacentral:rRNA from 1 species
AGCAAGAGCCCGGAGAUGGAUUCUGAGACAUGAAUCCAGGCCCUACGGGGCGCAGCAGGUGCGAAAACUUUACAAUGCGGGAAACCGUGAUAAGGGGACACCGAGUGCCAGCGUCAUACGCUGGCUGUCCAGGUGUGUAAAAUACACCUGUUAGCAAGGGCCGGGCAAGACCGGUGCCAGCCGCCGCGGUAACACCGGCGGCCCGAGUGGUGAUCGUGAUUAUUGGGUCUAAAGGGUCCGUAGCCGGUUUGGUCAGUCCUCCGGGAAAUCUGACAGCUCAACUGUUAGGCUUUCGGGGGAUACUGCCAGACUUGGAACCGGGAGAGGUAAGAGGUACUACAGGGGUAGGAGUGAAAUCCUGUAAUCCCUGUGGGACCACCUGUGGCGAAGGCGUCUUACCAGAACGGGUUCGACGGUGAGGGCACGAAAGCUGGG